UACAGAGGGUGCAAGCGUUGUUCGGAAUUACUGGGCGUAAAGCGCGUGUAGGCGGUUGCCCAAGUCGGGUGUGAAAGCCUUGAGCUCAACUCAAGAAAUGCACUCGGUACUGGGUGACUAGAGGACCGGAGAGGAUAGUGGAAUUCCCAGUGUAGUGGUGAAAUACGUAGAGAUUGGGAAGAACACCAGUGGCGAAGGCGGCUAUCUGGACGGUUUCUGACGCUAAGACGCGAAAGCGUGGGGAGCAAACAGG
rnacentral:rRNA from 1 species